GAAUCUUGCACAAUGGGGGCAACCCUGAUGCAGCGACGCCGCGUGAGUGAUGAAGCCCUUCGGGGUGUAAAGCUCUUUCGGCAGGGACGAUAAUGACGGUACCUGAAGAAGAAGCUGCGGCUAACUACGUGCCAGCAGCCGCGGUAAUACGUAGGCAGCGAGCGUUGUUCGGAGUUACUGGGCGUAAAGGGCUCGUAGGCGGCCAACUAAGUCCGACGUGAAAUCCCCAGGCUUAACCUGGGAACUGCGUCGGAUACUGGAUGGCUUGAAUUCGGGAGAGGGAUGCAGAAUUCCAGGUGUAGCGGUGAAAUGCGUAGAUAUCUGGAGGAAUACCGGUGGCGAAGGCGGCAUCCUGGACCGACAUUGACGCUGAUGAGCGAAAGCUAGGGGAGCAAAC
rnacentral:rRNA from 1 species